AGUAGAUGGGUCUCUACAUGGGUCCAAUCUGCUGGUUUCCCUCUUCUUCUCCUCCCCAUUUAUCUCCCUUAUUAUCUCUUCAAAUGCAAUGAGAGAAGACCCUUUGAUCGCUUCACUCCAAGAAUAUUAAUCUUGUCAAUUUUGAUAGGACUCAUGUUAGGCCUAAAUAACCUUCUCUUCUCAUGGGGGAAUUCCUAUCUCCCGGUUUCAACCUCAUCUCUGCUUCUAUCAUCCCAACUCAUAUUCAAUCUCAUUCUCUCAGUCAUCAUCGUAAAACAAAAAAUCACCUUCCAAAAUCUCAACUGCGUAAUCCUUCUAACUCUAAGCUCAGUCCUUCUAGCCUUAGGUUCAAGCCACGACAGGCCUCAAGGCUUAACCCCAACCAAAUACUUCAUAGGAUUCUUCUCCACAGUAGGAGCAGGCUUGUUAUUUGCCCUGUACUUACCAGUGAUGGAAAGGAUAUACAAGAAUGUUCACUGCUACGGGAUGGUGAUGGAAAUGCAGCUAGUGAUGGAAAUUGCAGCCACCGCACUAGCCACCGCUGGGAUGGCAACAGAUGGAGGAUUCAGAGAGAUGAAAAGAGAAAGCAAGAACGAAUUCGAUAAAGGAGUGAAGUGGUAUUGGAUGACAGUGAUAGGGAACGUAGUAACAUGGCAGUUGUGCUUUAUGGGGACGGCGGGGAUGGUCUUUCUGACGUCGUCGCUGACCGGAGGGAUAUGCAUGACGGCGCUGCUGGGCAUGAACGUGGUAGGAGGAGUAUUGGUGUAUGGAGAUGAGUUUGGUGGAGUGAAGGUGGUGUCCACUUUGCUUUGUGUGUGG
rnacentral:misc_RNA from 1 species